GGCCAGGUAGCUUAGUUGGUAAGAGCAUUGUCCUGAUACAUCAAGGUUACGGGUUCGAUCCCUGGUCA
rfam:Myotis brandtii contig195194, whole genome shotgun sequence.